UGAAGUGGCAGAGAGUGUUCUUCAUUUAAUUAAUUGUUGUCUUCUUAAUUUUCAGUCCUUUCGUUUUCUUCCCCUAAUCAUCAUUUUCCAAAAAAAGAAAAGAAAAAAAAAGCCUUGAGAGAUCAUAAUUAUAGUAACACUACAUACAUUAAGGAUUAUAUUUGUGGUUGCAAUCGAUUGAUAGAGAGGUUGUGGGUGUCUAAGUGAUCGUGAUUCUUCCAUUCGUUCCUGUCUCUACGUACUACAAACAAGGUGUUUAACUGAUCAUUGUGAAUUUCUCCUUCGUUUAUCUCUUUACUAUCAAUUAUCUCAAGUCUAAGUGAUGUGAUCCAAGCACCAAAGGAUCCAUUAGAGGUUCCGGUUGGUCCACUUACAAGGCUUAGAGUUAAGAGCUUCAAAGAGGUUUUCAAUGGACUUCUUCAAGAUAUAUGGGUCAAGGUGGAUUUCAAGAGGAUAUUAAAUAAUGAGGAGCAAGCCGUGAUUAAUCUGAUUCAUGUUCAAGAAGGGCUUGUUGGUGGAACCAAGACCAUUACACAAGGAUUGGGAGAAAAAGACUAGAUUCGGUCAGUUUGACCUUUCACUACCUUUUGUUUUAUCAUAAAUGGAGCUACAGGUCGAAUGUUUAGGUGAUUCUAGUUGGGACGGAAACUAGACUUCCAUACCUUUCCAACUGUUCAUGACACGCCUUUAAAUUCUUUAAGAUAAGAGAGAACCAUCCAUGUGAAUUUGGGAUUUGCUGCUACCAGACAGAAUGCGAGAAUAACCGAACUUUUCUUAUUAAA